UACAGAGGGUGCAAGCGUUGUUCGGAAUUAUUGGGCGUAAAGCGCGUGUAGGCGGCUUGGCAAGUCGGGUGUGAAAUCCCUCAGCUUAACUGAGGAAGUGCGCCCGAAACUGCCGAGCUUGAGUACCGGAGAGGGUGGCGGAAUUCCCCAAGUAGAGGUGAAAUUCGUAGAUAUGGGGAGGAACACCGGGUGGCGAAGGCGGCCACCUGGA
rnacentral:rRNA from 1 species